rnacentral:rRNA from 1 species
CCCUUAGAGUUUGAUCCUGGCUCAGAACAAACGCUGGCGGCAGGCUUCAUACAUGCAAGUCGAGCGAGAAGCCUUCGGGCUGAAAGCGGCGAACGGGUGAGUAACAGGUGGACAACCUACCCUCUGGCGGGGGACAACAGCUGGAAACGGCUGCUAAUACCGCAUGUGAUUACAUUACCUUGGUAGUGUAAGGAAAGGCGCGUUUGCGUCACCAGAGGAUGGGUCCGCCCCCCAUUAGCUUGUUGGUGUGAUAACAGCGCACCAAGGCUUCGAUGGGUAGCCGAGCUGAGAGGUUGAUCGGCCACACUGGGACUGAGACACGGCCCAGACACCUACGGGUGGCAGCAGUAGGGAAUAUUGGACAAUGGACGAAAGUCUGAUCCAGCCAUGCCGCGUGAGUGAAGAAGGUCUUCGGAUCGUAAAACUCUUUUAUGAGGGAAGAACAUCCCGGGGAGGAAAUGCCCCGGGUCUGACGGUACCUCAGGAAUAAGGGACGGCUAACUCCGUGCCAGCAGCCGCGGUAAUACGGAGGUCCCGAGCGUUGUUCGGAAUUACUGGGCGUAAAGGGGGCGCAGGCGGACAGGUCAGUGAAAAGUGGAAGCCCGAGGCUCAACCUCGGAAAGCCUUUUCAUACUGCCUGUCUUGAGUUCGUGAGAGGAGAGCGGAAU